AAACGACUCUCGGCAACGGAUAUCUCGGCUCUCGCAUCGAUGAAGAACGUAGCGAAAUGCGAUACUUGGUGUGAAUUGCAGAAUCCCGUGAACCAUCGAGUCUUUGAACGCAAGUUGCGCCCGAAGCCAUCCGGUCGAGGGCACGUCUGCCUG
rnacentral:rRNA from 1 species